rnacentral:rRNA from 1 species
AGAGUUUGAUCCUGGNUCCUNNUUANNNANGGGGCGGNGCGCCUAAUACAUGCAAGUCGANCCNUAANAGGUAGCAAUACGUUUGUAAAGCGGCGAACGGGUGAGGAAUACAUGGGUAACCUACCCUUGAGUGGGGAAUAACUAGCCGAAAGGUUAGCUAAUACCGCGUACGCUCCUUGGACUUCGGUUCAGGGAGGAAAGCGCUACCGUGGGUAGCGCGCUCUUGGAUGGGCUCAUGUCCUAUCAGCUUGUUGGUGAGGUAACGGCUCACCAAGGCUUCGACGGGUAGCUGGUCUGAGAGGACGAUCAGCCACACUGGCACUGCGACACGGGCCAGACUCCUACGGGAGGCAGCAGUAAGGAAUAUUGCGCAAUGGGCGAAAGCCUGACGCAGCGACGCCGCGUGGGGGAUGAAGGUCUUCGGAUUGUAAACCCCUUUCGGGAGGGAAGAUGGAAUGGGGUAACCCAUUCGGACGGUACCUCCAGAAGCAGCCACGGCUAACUUCGUGCCAGCAGCCGCGGUAAUACGAAGGUGGCAAGCGUUAUUCGGAUUUACUGGGCGUACAGGGAGCGUAGGCGGUUCGGUAAGCCCUCUGUGAAAUCUUCAGGCUUAACCUGGAAAAGUCGGAGGGGACUGCUGGGCUAGAGGGCGGGAGAGGAGCGCGGAAUUCCCGGUGUAGCGGUGAAAUGCGUANAGAUCGGGAGGAAGGCCGGUGGCGAAGGCGGCGCUCUGGAACGUUUCUGACGCUG